rnacentral:rRNA from 1 species
GGACGACGCUGGCGGCGUGCCUAAUACAUGCAAGUCGAGCGCGGGAAGCGGACUCGUCGACCCUUCGGGGUGUCUAGUCCGGUGGAACGAGCGGCGGAUGGGUGAGUAUCACGCGGGCAACCUGCCUGUAAGAUUGGGAUAACUCGCGGAAACGUGAGCUAAUACCGAAUGAAGUCUUUCACCGCCUGGUGAAAGGAUGAAAGAUGGCUUUUUAGCUAUCACUUACAGAUGGGCCCGCGGCGCAUUAGCUAGUUGGUGGGGUAAAGGCCUACCAAGGCGACGAUGCGUAGCCGACCUGAGAGGGUGAUCGGCCACACUGGGACUGAGACACGGCCCAGACUCCUACGGGAGGCAGCAGUAGGGAAUCUUCCGCAAUGGACGAAAGUCUGACGGAGCAACGCCGCGUGAGUGAAUGAAGGUCUUCGGAUCGUAAAACUCUGUUGUCAGGGAAGAACAAGUUGUGUUCUAACAGGACAUGACCUUGACGGUACCUGACCAGAAAGCCCCGGCUAACUACGUGCCAGCAGCAGC